CCGAGCCGAGCGCGCUUCAGCUGCGGAGUUCCCGGCGCAGCCGCCGGGUCUGCUCGGCACCCCCGGCCCCGGCUCCGCCCCGCCCCCGGGGAGCUCUGGGUCGGGGCUGCGUGGCUACUGAGACCGCCAGGGGGACUUCGCCAGGGCCGAGCGCACCGAAUCGGGAUUUGGACUGACAGGCAGAUAGACCGGGGUGGAGGCAUGGGACACGAAGGGGUCUGAGCCGGGGUGGUGUUGGGGGGCGGGAUACGGAAUAGUGCUGACGCCUGCAAGGUGUGGCGCUGACCUAAAAUGCGGACUCCUGCACACGCGGGGCGCACCUAGGCGCGCGGGGCGGGGUGCCCAGCACCGAACCGCCUUCGAGAGAGGCGAAUGGUUUCCUGCCCCUUCCUGUUCGGUCUUUGGGGGAAGGACAGCCAGUGGCUACUUCUUCCUUCACCUGGUGGAGUCCUCCUGACAGGCGUCACGGGGCGCGCACCUGUUUUGGUUUUCUUGUGGGUACCAGGGUCCCAUAUGUUCAAGGGAGCCGCCCAUGCCCCCCCCCCCGCCCCACAUUUCAGGCGAGCACCCGGGUACUCCGAGGUUCCAGCUAAUCCUAACCAAUGGGGGCUUUUUGAAACACUGGGCUGCACCCUACACCCCGUUUUUGCAUGAGGAACCGAGGAGAACACCACACGGCUUUUUAGCCUGGAUCUGCAAUACCCCCCCCCCCUUUUUUUAAAUUUAUCUCCCAGACUCCGCUCUUGGCCCGCCGCAGUUGAUUCUCUACGCCACGGCAGCGCAGAGCUAUCCUUUUAUAAUGUAAGUCAGAUAACCUUGUUUCUUUACGGGAAAUCCACCCUUGAAUUUAUCGGAAAUCCAAGUGAAAGCUGCAGCCCCGUAAUGGCCCUUCGCAAGGGGCCGGCUCCCUUUUCAUUUUCUAACUUCACCUUCUGCGGUUACCGGUUACCAUCCUGGGGUCCGCAUGCCCUCGAACUGGCCUAUCUACCGCAUCGCCAACAGGGCAGCCACCUUAGGAUCCCCGCACGUUGUUACAUGGUGCUUUAGGCCUGAAGUGCCUCUACCCUGCGUUUUGCCUAAUUUUCAAGGUCCAGUUGGAAUCCACUCCUUUCCCCAGGAAGCCUCCCUGAUACGUCCACACUCGCAGCCCUCACUACUUUGUGUCUGCAUUGAGGAAGUUUUCUUGUUUUUUCUAGCUGCAUUUUCCCCCUGGAUUCACUGUCUCCUAGGAAGUUGGGGCUGGCUGGCCUGUGGCCACCGAAAAUGACCUUGAAAAGCCAGUUCUGUCUCUUGAACUUUCAGAGCUAUGGGCACAGUAGUGAGUGUGGUUCAUGCUGCCCAUCUCAAAGGGUUAAAAAUGAAAAUAUAUCUAGAAGAUGGUAAAGGUUCAGAAAUGAUCUCAGUCCAGCGUGUGUUGCCCGCCUGUGAUCCUGGCAUCUGGGAAGGCUGAGGCAGGAAGAUUGCAACAAGUUGGCAGCCUGGGCAAGUUAAACUUAGCAAGACAUUGGCCUUGUCUCAGAAGAACAAACAGAAAAGGGCUGAGGAUGUGGUCCCAUUCAAAGGCUCUGUUUCCAUCUUUGUUACCCAUCUACCCUAAGUUUUCUUUUUUUGUAGUGAGUUUCUAUUAAGUAGAACCAUAGUUUAACCAGUCUCCUCACCCUGAUUCUGCCCUGUCCACCUUCUUACCAAAGAGUUUUAGAUUCCCACAUUCAUUCUCACUGAAUGUCAUCCUGGGAGGAAUGAUCCUGCCUUCUAUAAGAAGGAAGAGUGGAAUACCUGUUGAAGUCUUCGUAAAUAAGCUGGGCCUGUUGCUUCCUUGGAUUCUGUCCUCUCAUCUGCACCAGCACCUUAGGAGCCAGGUGCCGUUAUCACCAACCAGGAGGCUGAGCCCAGAGAGGUCCGGGACUUUCCUGCCAUCAAAGCGCUCACUUGCUCUUGCUUGCUCCUGGCUUUUGCCUGACUGCUCACUGGCCAGCAGGCCUUCCUCACUACUUCCCCAUGGGACGUGUCUCUGGGGAUCUCUUUGCUCCGUCUAGCAGGGGAGCAAGAGACAGUGAUGUAGUCAUGAGGUCAGGAGGAUUUCAGAGGCUGUUUGAGUCAUUUUGUGUGACUCACUCUCUGUUAUUGGUGGGAGGUAAAGGGGUUUGGGAAAGAGGAGGGGGAGAGAGAACAAUGAUCCGAGACCCCAUAGCUUGUCUUACUAGUGGUUUUUCAAGGACCCUCAAGAAGUAGCAAUAUUUCUUGAUUUUGGCCCCUCUUGCAAUCCGCUGUGUUGAUAAUGAAAUGUUUUCCUUUGGUGAAAAUGUUCUUCUGUCCAGACUUCUUACUUAUUUUCUUAUUUAUAGCCCACUUCAAUCCACAAAGGAGCUGAGGUAGCUUACCAAAGAAGCAGAAAGCAUAAAACAAUGUUAAGCUAUCAAUAAGGAUGAAGAACCAGGAUCAAGGAAAAUGUAAAUAAACUUUGGGGGUAACAGCCGGGUUCAGUAAUUAUGGACAAUUUUAUUAAGUUCUUCCUGUGUGCCAAAGAAUUUGCCCAAUUAUUUCACUUAAUCCUGAGAGGAGCCCUGUGAGGUGGAUACUAUCAUCAUCUUCAUUUCAAAGGAAGGGGAACUGAGGAAUGAAAUCUGAUGUGUAGAGUCUUGUGGCUGGGAAGGGGUAGAGUCAGUCCUUGAAUUCAGUUUGAUACUUGAACUCACGCCCUUAGCCACUGUAGCAUGUCACCUCACAAAGGGACACAAAGUCCAUGCUCUGUCUUGAUCUCUCCUUUUAUGAUGGCAUAUUUUGCUUUUUAAUAUAUAGAAUGUUAUAAUGUAUACCUCAGAGGAGGGGGUGAUUAAAAAUUUAUGACAGUAAAAGACACAUUGCCAUUAAUCCCCCUCAAACUACCCCAAAAGGCCCUCCCCCCCUCCUUGAACAUGCUUUUCUCAUUGUUCUUGGUGAUAUGCCUUCUAUUUUUACUGUGAUGUUUUUAAAAUCUAAACAUUUACUGUAUUUUUCAAUCAGCUCUUCCCUAUUGCAUAUGUUCUGUAUUAUAUUCUAUAUUAAUAAAUUUAUUUGUGAAUUA